rnacentral:rRNA from 1 species
CAGCCGCCGCGGGAAAACGUAGGGUGCAAGCGUUAAUCGGAAUUACUGGGCGUAAAGCGUGCGCAGGCGGUUAUAUAAGACAGAUGUGAAAUCCCCGGGCUCAACCUGGGAACUGCAUUUGUGACUGUAUAGCUAGAGUACGGCAGAGGGGGAUGGAAUUCCGCGUGUAGCAGUGAAAUGCGUAGAUAUGCGGAGGAACACCGAUGGCGAAGGCAAUCCCCUGGGCCUGUACUGACGCUCAUGCACGAAAGCGUGGGGAGCAAACAGGAUUAGAUACCCCGGUAGUCCCUGUCUCUUAUAA